CCUACGGGCGGCAGCAGUGAGGAAUAUUGGUCAAUGGACUCGAGUCUGAACCAGCCAUGCCGCGUGCAGGAAGACGGCUCUAUGAGUUGUAAACUGCUUUUAUACGAGGAUAAACGCAGAUACGCGUCUCUGUCUGAAAGUAUCGUACGAAUAAGGAUCGGCUAACUCCGUGCCAGCAGCCGCGGUAAUACGGAGGAUUCAAGCGUUAUCCGGAUUUAUUGGGUUUAAAGGGUGCGUAGGCGGUCGGAUAAGUUAGAGGUGAAAUCCCGAGGCUCAACUUCGGAAUUGCAUCUGAUACUGUCAGGCUAGAGAGUAGUUGCGGUAGGCGGAAUGCAUGGUGUAGCGGUGAAAUGCUUAGAGAGCACACAGAACACCGAUUGCGAAGGCAGCUUACCAAGCUACUUCUGACGUUGAGGCACGAAAGCGUGGGGAGCAAACAGGAUUAGAUACCCGAGUAGUC
rnacentral:rRNA from 1 species